rnacentral:rRNA from 1 species
UACGGGGGGUGCAAGCGUUAUUCGGGAUUAUUGGGCGUAAAGGGCGCGUAGGCGGUUGAAUAAGUCAGAUGUGAAAACCCUUGGCUUAACCAAGGAAGUGCAUUUGAUACUAUUUGUCUUGAGUAUGGGAGAGGGAAGUGGAAUUCCUGGUGUAGAGGUGAAAUUCGUAGAUAUCAGGAGGAACACCGGUGGCGAAAGCGCCUUCCUGGUACAAUACUGACGCUGAGGCGCGAAGGCGUGCCUAGCAAUCAGG